rnacentral:rRNA from 1 species
AUUGAACGCUGGCGGCAGGCCUAACACAUGCAAGUCGAGCGCGAAAGUUCUUCGGAAAGAGUAAAGCGGCGGACGGGUGAGUAAUACAUGGGAAUCUGCCUGGUAGUGGGGGACAACGUUUCGAAAGGAACGCUAAUACCGCAUACGCCCUACGGGGAAAGGGGGGAUCUUCGGACCUCUCGCUAUCAGAUGAGCCCAUG